rnacentral:rRNA from 1 species
CCCUUAGAUGUUCUGGGCUGCACGCGUGCUACACUGAUUAUUUCAACAAGUGUUUUAACUGGAGAGUUUGCGUAAUCCUGAAAUGUUAUCGUGAUGGGAGUAGAGUAUUGUAUUUGUUAAUCUUUAACGAGGAAUUCCUAGUAAGUGUAGGUUUAUAAGUUGUUCUGAUUACGUCCCUGCCCUUUGUACACACCGCCCGUCGCUCCUACCGAUUGAUUGAUCCGUGAAUUACAUAGAAUUUUGCGUUUUACAUGACGGAAGAUGAGGUGUUUUAAACCUUAUCAUUUAGAGGAAGGAGAAGUCGUAACA